UACAGAGGUCCCGAGCGUUGUUCGGAUUCAUUGGGCGUAAAGGGUGCGUAGGCGGCGGGGUAAGUCUGAUGUGAAAUCCCGGGGCUCAACCCCGGAACUGCAUUGGAUACUGCCCUGCUUGAGUACUGGAGAGGAGACUGGAAUUUACGGUGUAGCAGUGAAAUGCGUAGAGAUCGUAAGGAAGACCAGUGGCGAAGGCGAGUCUCUGGACAGUUACUGACGCUGAGGCACGAAGGCCAGGGGAGCAAACGGG
rnacentral:rRNA from 1 species